rnacentral:rRNA from 1 species
AAAGGCUGCGGUAUUUUGACCGUACAAAGGUAGCAUAAUCAUUAGUUUUUUAAUUGAAAACUCGUAUGAAUGGUUUAACGAAAUAUUAGCUGUUUCAUAAAAAUAAUAGUAGAAAUUAAUUUUUUAGUUAAAAAGCUAAAAUGUAAUUAAAAGACGAGAAGACCCUAUAGAGUUUUAUAUUAAAAUUUUUAAAGUUUAUUUAGAAUAAUUUAAAUUUUAUUUUUAUUUAUAUUUUGUUGGGGUGACAAUAAAAUUUUAAUACCUUUUAUUUUUUAUUAAACAAUGAUUUUUGAAUAAUUGAUCCACUUUUAGUGAUUAUAAGAUUAAAUUACCUUAGGGAUAACAGCG